GAUGAACGCUGGCGGCGUGCCUAAUACAUGCAAGUCGAGCGAACAGACGAGGAGCUUGCUCCUCUGACGUUAGCGGCGGACGGGUGAGUAACACGUGGAUAACCUACCUAUAAGACUGGGAUAACUUCGGGAAACCGGAGCUAAUACCGGAUAAUAUAUUGAACCGCAUGGUUCAAUAGUGAAAGACGGUUUUGCUGUCACUUAUAGAUGGAUCCGCGCCGCAUUAGCUAGUUGGUAAGGUAACGGCUUACCAAGGCGACGAUGCGUAGCCGACCUGAGAGGGUGAUCGGCCACACUGGAACUGAGACACGGUCCAGACUCCUACGGGAGGCAGCAGUUGGGAAUCUUCCGCAAUGGGCGAAAGCCUGACGGAGCAACGCCGCGUGAGUGAUGAAGGUCUUCGGAUCGUAAAACUCUGUUGUUAGGGAAGAACAAAUGUGUAAGUAACUAUGCACGUCUUGACGGUACCUAAUCAGAAAGCUACGGCUAACUACGUG
rnacentral:rRNA from 1 species